UACGGAAGAUGCGAGCGUUAUCCGGAUUUACUGGGUGUAAAGGGAGCGUAGGCGGCGGAGCAAGUCAGAAGUGAAAGCCCGGGGCUCAACCCCGUAUGGCGCUGGAAACUGUUAGGCUUGAGUGCAGGAGAGGAAAGGGGAAUUCCCAGUGUAGCGGUGAAAUGCGUAGAUAUUGGGAGGAACACCAGUGGCGAAGGCGCCUUUCUGGACUGUAACUGACGCUGAGGCUCGAAAGCUAGGGUAGCGAACGGG
rnacentral:rRNA from 1 species